GAGCAGUGACGAGGCUUCUGCACCACUGGCGAUGGUUGGGUCCAUCGCAACCGUCCGAUGAUUGCAGACGAGACCACGGUGCAUCUGAGCUC